CCUACGGGGGGCAGCAGUAGGGAAUAUUGCUCAAUGGGGGAAACCCUGAAGCAGCAACGCCGCGUGGAGGAUGAAGGUUUUCGGAUUGUAAACUCCUUUUGUUAGAGAAGAUAAUGACGGUAUCUAACGAAUAAGCACCGGCUAACUCCGUGCCAGCAGCCGCGGUAAUACGGAGGGUGCAAGCGUUACUCGGAAUCACUGGGCGUAAAGAGCGCGUAGGCGGGAUAGCAAGUCAGAUGUGAAAUCCUAUGGCUUAACCAUGGAACUGCAUUUGAAACUGUUAUUCUAGAGUAUGGGAGAGGUAGGUGGAAUUCUUGGGGUAGGGGUAAAAUGCGUAGAGAUCAAGAGGAAUACUGAUUGCGAAGGCGACCUGCUAGAACAUAACUGACGCUGAUGCGCGAAAGCGUGGGGAGCAAACAGGAUUAGAUACCCCAGUAGUC
rnacentral:rRNA from 1 species